rnacentral:rRNA from 1 species
GACGUAGGAGGCGAGCGUUGUCCGGAUUCAUUGGGCGUAAAGCGCGCGUAGGCGGCUCGGAAAGUCGGUCGUGAAAUGCCGGGGCUCAACCCCGGGACUGCGUCCGAUACUCCCGAGCUGGAGGCAGGUAGGGGAGAUCGGAAUUCCUGGUGUAGCGGUGAAAUGCGCAGAUAUCAGGAGGAACACCGGUGGCGAAGGCGGAUCUCUGGGCCUUGCCUGACGCUGAGGCGCGAAAGCUAGGGGAGCGAACAGG